rnacentral:lncRNA from 1 species
CCUUUCUCGCUUCAUCCGCGGUCCCUGUCUGUUUUCGUUAUGGCGCCUUGUACUUCUACCCAACGUUGCCCGCCCCCCAUCUUCCCAGCCCACCAGCUCCGUCCGCCUCUCCGGAUGAUUCGUGAGAUACCGAGCCUGCCGGGAAGGGACCGGAUUUUUCCGUCUGGUCCAAGGAAGCACGGGUUAUGGCCACAUGCGCAGUGAUAACUCAGGGCCCCACGCCUUUUGACCCGUGAGUGUUGUAGGCUUGGGGGUGACGGGAUCUGGUAAGAGCAUUUGUGCCUUUACUGGAUUACGUGCUUGGGUGCAGUAACCUUAUUAGGAUGACGCCAAUGGAAGGGCCUGUGACCAUUACCUCCGAGCGACCUUUUUGUGAUUAACCUCGCUCCUAUGUUGGGUGGAAUUUGGGUCCUACCACGUGCUAGGCGAUCGCUAUGUCAACCAUAGUAUUAAAGCCUUAAAAAAAAAAAAGUCAGGAUAAUGGGCCCUACAGAGUUGGGCAAGGAUUAUACAACCUCGGCUUUCUCGCUUUCUGAUUGCAAAAAGCCGCCAUUUUAUUCAGCUAAACCUGAUGUCCACAGCGCGUUAAAAAGCGUUUGUAGGCGGUAGGGUCAUUAAUUUGAGACUGCUUUGGGUUAUAGUCAGGAACCUAUCCCAAUGUCUAAAGCUUCACGUAUUGAACUAGGAGCCAUCGGAGCCCACAGGAUUGCCUUUUCAGGCGUCUCUCUAGUAGGCAGUGGUGAGGCAUGUGGCUUGUGGGUUUGAGGUCUAGCAAUUGCUAUCGCUGUCUGUGGCCCUUAUCGAAGCUGCAGCAGCUUCUACAUAGCUGCUGUGGUCAAAAAGGUGGCCCAGAGAAAGAAUUUUCCUUGACGGUCGCAGUUCUGUUUCCUGUAACUGAUCUGCAACAUUGUGGAAAAUGACAGCUUCACCUUACUAUUUCUCUGGAGUAUGUAGCAAUCUUUAGGCUUUUAUUCCUGGGGGGGGUGGGAGGGGAUAGGAGGUAGACCGGUGAGUGAGCUCAAUCUGAUUUACAAUUCAGGCCUGUAUUGAUCAUCUAUUGGUAAAUAAACAAUGCCUUGGUCACUGUCACAGUCCCUAUAAGGUAAUGACUGGGAAUAUGGAACAAGAUUAUUGUGGCUAAUUCUGUUGCCAUUCAUCUUAGCUGUUGAUGAAGAUUGUGAGGAGGGAGACCAGAAGAUAAUGGACAACGAUACAGCAGAAGGGUCUGGUUACACUUGAGCUUAUUUCUUGGAAGAGUCUGAGAAGACGGCCUGUCAGGCUCCUAACACUAAGGGCCAUGUAACCAGUGAAGCAGCCAUUAUAUAUGAUUUGGUCUACACUUGUUGGAAAAAUUCCACAAGAGGAUCUCCUGGAAGCUAGCAGAAGUUUUUGGCUUGUACAUUGCCAGGCAGCCAUUGGAAUCGGAGCUGCAGUCAGAUUAAGGCCAGCCUGGCCUACAUUGAGAAACCUCAUUUUGGGAAAGUGAAAUACUUUGUCAAUUAACAUGCAGUUGGUUCAAUAAAGACUUUUGGAAAGUGUC